UGGUCCCUAUCUUUCGUGGGCGCAGGAUAUUUGAGGGGAUCUGUCCCUAGUACGAGAGGACCGGGAUGGACGAACCUCUGGUGUGCAGGUUGUCAUGCCAAUGGCAAUGCCUGGUAGCUAUGUUCGGAUUGGAUAACCGCUGAAAGCAUCUAAGCGGGAAGCCAACCUCAAGAUAAGAUAUCCCUUUCCCGUGGAAACACGGGAACUGAAGACCCCUUGUAGACGACAAGGUUGAUAGGCCAGGUGUGUAAGUACGGCAACGUAUUUAGCUUACUGGUACUAAUCGGUCGUGAGGCUUGGCCAC
rnacentral:rRNA from 1 species